CCAGUGGAGGUUCAGUGAUAGAAUUCUCGUCUUCCAUGUGGGAGACCUGGGUUUGAUUCUCAGCCAAUGCA
rnacentral:tRNA from 1 species